GGUUUGCAUUUUUACAUGGGUUCCAACUGGCGAGGGCCGAAACCCUAAUCAACUAUUAUAAAAAUGCCGACGGCGGCAAUGCCACCGCCAUUUUAGGGGAUUCAUCCUAACCAAGUUACUGCUUACAGCAUCAUGGGAUACUUCAUUUUUGGUCAUCCAUUUUACACAAAACUGUUGUAUCAGUAAUUGGAAUUAACAUUUUCCAUGUGCUUUGGAAAUAUCGAUCACUUUGUCAAUUAUAAUGGAGAUCCUGCAUAGAAAUGUAUAUGUCGAGGCGUUGGAUGGCAGUGUUCUGAAGGCACCUUUGUCGAUAGGCAAAGUGAUCAAUAAACUAUUUUAAAGAAUCUGAUGCAAGGAACUUGAGGUAAUAGUCCAGAUCGGAGAAAGACUGGAAAGCGCUCAUCUUUGCAUCAUAGAUGCACAAAGAAGCCCAAGCUCAGAUUUUGGACAUGGGUCCAGUCUGAAAAGCCUGGGCAUAGUGAUCCCGAUGCCUGGUCCAGGCCAGAUUUCAAAGCCUGUUCAGGUUGAAAUUUUUGGUGGCAGUAAAGCCUGGAAAAGCCUGACCAAGCCCUUUUUCAACCCCAAAUCCUGACCCAAUCCGGAAAAAACUGGGUCAUUUUUCUCUCCGAAAACAGGCUUGGAAGGCCUGAGCCCAGGCCUUGGCAUCUCUACUCUGCAUCAUGUAAAAGAGAAAGUAACAUGAUAUGCAUCAAAAGGGAGCUCUGAAAGAGGCAUGGCAUUCAAUAUACAUAGCGUUUUUUUUACCUCGAGAAGCUGAGGUUUCAGGUUUUUGCGGCAUUCUAGUUUUUUGUGUGCGUGUUUUGAAACCUUAUUUUGUUGGCAAAACUUUGAAAUGAAGGCAAACUAUGUUUGCCGAUGGAGCAUAUUACAUUGUUGAUUCUUCUACAUUGUUUGAAGCGAACUCGCACCAAAUAUAUCGUACCAAACAUGGGACAGUGUUUUUUGA